rnacentral:rRNA from 1 species
CACGCAGUAAACGAUGAUUACUAGUUGUUUGCGAUACAAUGUAAGCGACUGAGCGAAAGCGUUAAGUAAUCCACCUGGGGAGUACGUUCGCAAGAAUGAAACUCAAAGGAAUUGACGGGGGCCCGCACAAGCGGAGGAACAUGUGGUUUAAUUCGAUGAUACGCGAGGAACCUUACCCGGGCUUGAAAUGCGGCGGACCGGCGGAGAGAUCCGCUUUCCCUUCGGGGCCGCCGUGUAGGUGC